GAUGAACGCUGGCGGCGUGCUUAACACAUGCAAGUCGAACGGAAAGGCUCCUGCUUGCAGGGGUACUCGAGUGGCGAACGGGUGAGUAACACGUGGGUGAUCUGCCCUGCACUUCGGGAUAAGCCUGGGAAACUGGGUCUAAUACCGGAUAGGACGAUGGUUUGGAUGCCAUUGUGGAAAGUUUUUUCGGUGUGGGAUGAGCUCGCGGCCUAUCAGCUUGUUGGGGGGGUAAUGGCCUACCAAGGCGUCGACGGGUAGCCGGCCUGAGAGGGUGUACGGACACAUUGGGACUGGGAUACGGCCCAGACUCCUACGGGAGGCAGCAGUGGGGAAUAUUGCACAAUGGGCGCAAGCCUGAUGCAGCGACGCCGCGUGGGGGAUGACGGCCUUCGGGUUGUAAACUCCUUUCGCUAGGGACGAAGCGCAAGUGACGGUACCUGGAGAAGAAGCACCGGCUAACUACGUG
rnacentral:rRNA from 1 species